CUUCGGGUUGUAAGCACUUUAAGUUGGGAGGAAAAGCUGAGGGUUAAUAGCCUUUAGUGUUGACGUUACCAACAGAAUAAGCACCGGCUAACUCCGUGCCAGCAGCCGCGGUAAUACGGAGGGUGCAAGCGUUAAUCGGAAUUACUGGGCGUAAAGCGCGCGUAGGCGGUUUGUUAAGUCAGAUGUGAAAUCCCCGGGCUCAACCUGGGAAUGGCAUUUGAGACUGGCAGGCUAGAGUAUGGUAGAGGUGAGUGGAAUUUCAGGUGUAGCGGUGAAAUGCGUAGAGAUCUGAAGGAACAUCAGUGGCGAAGGCGACUCACUGGGCCAUUACUGACGCUGAGGUGCGAAAGCGUGGGUAGCAAACAGGAUUAGAUACCCUGGUAGUCCACGCCCUAAACGAUGUCAACUAGGUGUAUGGAGAAUUUAUUCUUUGUGUAUCGAAGCUAACGCGAUAAGUUGACCGCCUGGGGAGUACGGUCGCAAGACUAAAACUCAAAGA
rnacentral:rRNA from 1 species